rnacentral:tRNA from 1 species
GCUCUCUUAGCUCAGUUUGGUAGAGCGUCAGUGUCCUAAUCCUGAAGGUCGGUGAUUCGAAUCCGCCAGAGAGCA